rnacentral:piRNA from 1 species
UGUGAGGAAGCCAACCAUUCGUGCAGUGU